GGUACGUGGAAAUAUCCGUUUUACGGAACCGAAUUAUGUGCUAAAAAACUGUGCCACGCUUUUUAGAUUUUUUUUUAACUAGCGUUGGGAAGACGUGUUUAGUUAAAAAACUUUUUAAAAUUUGAUAUCAAUAUAGAUUAUUUUUAGAAACUAGAAUAGUUAAUCUUUAUUACUGUGAGCUUCAUUAUUUUACUGGAUGGCUUUUUUAUUGAGUUUUUUGAUGUCUAAAACUUUGUUGUACUUUGGGCAUGAAAUUAAUGUCGAAGAUUAAAUAAAAUGGAAAAUAAAGAUGUUGAUAAAGCAACACUUACUUCAUUAAUUGUAUCAUCUAUAGCUGCUCUAUCUGGUAAGGUUUUUUUAUUUUAACUUUUUAAUAUAUUUUUAAUAUUCAAAUUUUAAUAAUAACUUCAAGAUUGGUAUGUGUAUUAUAUGCUUCCAUAUUUUAAAGUUAUUUAAAAAUUGUAUUUUUUUACUUUGUAACAUGAUUUAAUAAAAAAAAUCAUGCAAUAUAUUUUAUACUAAUCCAACUGGUAAGUUUAUUUAUUUUAACUUUGUAAUAAGACUUUCAUAGCAAGGUAAUUAUGAAAAUAAUAAAUUAUUAUGAUUUUUUUUUUUUAGUACCACCAUUAUCUGUUUCAGCUGUUCCACCUUCCACUGAUCUAACUGGUAAGGUUGUAUAUUUUUGCUUUGCAAUAUGAUUUGCAAUAAGAUUGUGUAAAAUGCUUUUUCAUUUCUUUUUUAGUGCCAUCAUCAUCUACUCCAACUGUGCCAUCAUCUGCUCUAACUGGUUAGUAUAUAUGUUUCAACUCUGCAAUAUGAUUUUAAAUAAAAUUUAUUUUUAAGAUUGUGUUAAAUGUUUCUUGAUUUUGAUUGAUGUAUAAUGCUUUGUUAUUUUUAUUUUUUAUUUUUUAUUUUUUAGGUUGGGGGAGGGGUUUACACGCCCCUUCCGUACAUCAAUGCAAGUUGUGUAUUUGAAUUCCUGUAAAAUAUAGUUUUAUUAUGUAUAC